rnacentral:rRNA from 1 species
GUUUAGUGCUGAACUCUUCCAGAAAAUUAUAGACGCUGAUCUCAGAAGCUAGGCAGGAUCAGCCCUAGUUAAGUACUUGGAUGGGAGACUGCUUUGUAAAUACUGGGUGCCUUGGGCU